UCAUCAUUUAAAACUUAAUUAAAAGUUAAUUAAAGGGGUUAUUAAGGAAAACUAAGGCAAAUUUAUACAUAUAAGGAGGGUACAUCCCAAAAGCUUAAAAAAAUCUUAAAAUUUAAGGUUUUAAAUACAUUUAAGCGAUCCUAAGGUAAACCUUAAUAAUUAAUUACUUCCUGAAGUAAAACAUUUCAGUAGGGAAAGGAAAGGAAAUCAACCGAGACUCCGAGAGUAAUGGUGAGUGAAAUCGGACUAGCCUAUAAAAAUAUUAUAAUAUAAAUUGAAAAAAUAAAAUCAAUAAUUGUGUUGAUUUUUCUAAAAAAGGUCAAAAACUAUAAGUCCUGUAGGUUUAUAUUUUAUAUUAAAACAAAACAUUGUUGCCGACGCCCCUACCUACCCUUUGGGUAGGUAGGGCUAGGUAAUACACUACCCCUUUGGGGUAGGGUAAUACCCUUCGUUGCGGAGCAAAAUAAGUACGAUGAGAGAUAACUUGUCGGAAAAAAGGGGAACCAUCCUCUAAGGCUAAGUAUUAUAAAUUUAGCGAUAGUGAAAAAGUACUGUGAAGGAAAAGUUUGAAAAGCGAGUAGUAUACACAAAAUAAGUUUAUAAUGAUUAAAUUAUAAAUGAAUUGGUGAAAUAGAUCAUGAAUUAGUAACUCUAUAAGCAGUCGGAAUUCUUUAAAAAAUUUAGAAUGACGGCGUACCUUUUGCAUAAUGGGUCAGCAACUUAAUAGUAGUAGCAAGGUUAAAAGCCUUAGCGAAAGCGACUGGAUAAAAAUAAAUAUCAGUAACAGAUAUUGAAAACUAUGAUGGGUAAGUUACUACUAUUAGACCCGAAGCCAGGUGAUCUUACUUAGACCAGAUUAUAAUGGAUCGAACGGGUGAAUGUUGCAUAAUUCUCCGAAGAGUUUAAGUAAGCGGUGAAAUGCCAAUCUGACCUGGUGCUAGCUGGUUUUCUACGAAACAUAUUUAAGUAUGACAUCUACCUAACCUCGGCUUGGCAGCGUGCCCUACCCCUACCCCUUUGGGUAGGGGUAGGGUAGCUGCCAACAGCCGAGGUGAGUCGAACUUACAGCCUUUGUUGUUGGCGGCUCUGCCGCCAAGAGCCAAGUAAAAUAAGAAGACUUAUAGAUUUAUGGAGGUACAGCAAGGCAAUUCCCAACAAGUAAAAUUUUAGCCUUAAGGCUAAAAUUUUUAUGCGUUCAGGUUGCGGGGACCUAGAAAAUCUUACCUUUGGAAGCGAAUCUCGGAAUUACAUAAAUUGAUGGUAGAUAUUCAGACUGCUCAAGCUAAGUUGGGCAGUCAAGACGGAAACAGCCGAGAACACUGAUCAAGGUCCCAAAUGAUUGUUAAGUGAAAUUAAGGACGUAUGACUAUCGUAUACAGCUGUGAAGUGAGCCUGGCAGUCGCUACUUAUAAUGAACGUUUGUAACAACGCAUCAGCAGUCUUUAAUAUGCAAGUAUUAAAAAUAGAUACUAGCGCCGAAAAUUUAACGGGUCUUAAACAAUCAACCGAUAUCGUGUUGGUUAACUAGGUUCUAUAUUAGAAGCUAGUUAAUCUAGGUAGUAGAACAUUCAGUCAAACUAAUGAUAAUACAGUGUUUCAUUGUAUUUUAGGUUACUGAAGAGAUAAUGCUGACAUGAGUAACGUAAAAAGAAGUUAUAAUACUUCUCGCCGAAUACGAAAGGGUUUCAAAUAAGAAAGGUUAAUCCACUUUGAUUUAAUGCGGCCUCUAAGGAUAAUAGCUAAAGCUAUGACUGAUGAGUAUAAAAUAGAAAGUCUGACUCGCUGACAAUAUACUUAUUUUUAUAGGUAUAUUUAUAAAGCAUAGACCAGGAAAUUAAUAUUUUAUUAUACUACCGUACCCUAAACCGACACAGGUUCGUAGGUAGAGAAUACUAAGGCGUAGAGCUAAAAGUUGUUAAGGAACUCGGCAAGUUCACCUGCAUAAAUUUGAGUAGCCAUGCAUAAGUUAGACGAAAAGAGGUACCGCAUAAAUUUAUUCAAAUUAAAUUAGAGCGGUGGCACAGAAUCGGAGGCCCCGACUGUUUACUAAAAACACAUCACAGUGCAAUCAUUAAUAUGAUAGUAUACUGUGUGAAAUUUGCCCGAUGCCAUUAAUAUAAGAACGGUCAUUAAUAAAAGUGACUUAUCGAAAAUCUGGUUAAUAGCGGUCUUAACUAUGAGGAUCCUAAGGUAGCAAAAUCAGUUGGCCAUUAAAUGUGGUCCGGUAUCAAUAAUGUAACGAUGGUCUCACUGUCUCUACAACUUGCUCAGUGAAAUUGAAUUACGCGUGCAGAUGCGCGUUACCUCCAGGGGGACGGGAAGACCCUAUGCAGCUUUACUGUAGUUAGUUAUCAUAUGAAUCUAGAACAAUCUUAAUUCAGAGAGAAUAGGGAAGUCGAAAUUUCAGUAACAAUUUUGCGAUUAUUGCUGGAUGUUAGACAAAUAUUGGGAACCUUACAAUUAAGAUUGGGUUUGUGUUUACCUUUUUAAAGAAAGGGAUAGUUGACUAAUUGGCAGUUUGACUGGGGCGGUCGUCUUUAAUAGAGUAGCAAAGUACAACCAAAUAUUUUUACUAUUAUACUUUACUUUAUUAUAUUUUUAUUUUAAAGUAAAACUAACAAAUAAAUUAGCAAGCUAAAGCUAGUUAUAAAAUAACCAUAAAUUUUAUAAGGUAUAGCUAGAAAUUGAAUGGAGAUCAAUCAACCAGUGAAGGGUUGCGCAGAGUUCAAUGGCGGUAAGCAUGCUUAACUGAAAGACUCAAAAGUCGCACAGAUACGUAAGUAGGGCAUAGUGACCCCUCGCUAUAGAAUGGGAUAGACGAGGAUCAAUUGAUAAAAGUUACGCUAGGGAUAACAGGCUGAUAGCCGACGAGAGUACACAUUGUCUCGGCUGUUUGGCACCUCGAUGUCGACUCAUCCUAUCCUCCGGGGGAAGAAGCUUGGAAGGGUUCGGCUGUUCGCCGAUUAAAAGGGUACGUGAGUUGGGUUUAAUACGACGUGAGUCAGUAUGGUCCCUAUCUUCUGGAGGAAUAAUUAGUAAAAAGGGGCAGACCUUCUAGUACGAAAGGACCAAUAGGCUGUGUUUCUCUAGUGUACCAAUUGUUUUUAAUUAUUGAAUUGUAAUGAACGCAUAGUUGGGUAGCCACAAACAUAAUAGAUAAGUGCUGAAUGUCUAUCAAGCAAGAAUCUAACCCCUAGAUACUAAAUGGUUUAUAUUAUAAACCUUAAUUGAGAAAUAGAACAUUUCUAGAUAGGCUGCGAAUGAAAGUACUGUAAAGUAUUUAGUUUAGCAGUACUAAUUUAUAAAAA
rnacentral:rRNA from 1 species